rnacentral:ncRNA from 1 species
UUAUCAUUGCGCUGAGGUUAAAAGGGAAACAGGUGUGAAUCCUGUGCGAUCUCGUCACCGUAUUUGGGAAGCAUAAAAGCGUUAAAGUUACUGAAGUAACUUGGUCACUGAGAAAUUGGGAAGGCUGCUUUUGUGUGAUGAUCCGUAAGUCGGGAAACCUGCCGUUUGUC